ACUUACGACCACACCUCCCUGAGCACGCCCGAUUUUGUCUGAUCUCGGAAGCUAAGCAGGGUCGAGUCUGGUUAUUACUUGGAUGGGAGACAGCCUGGGAAUACCAGAUGCUGUAAGUU
ensembl:rRNA 5S_rRNA 5S ribosomal RNA